ACAACCCUGAGAUUAAGAGUUGGUAUGCUCUACCAACUGAGCAGCCAGGCGCCCCUCCUCUGGCCAAUUUCGUGACACGUGACCCCUUUGUCUAGAGACAAGGAUGCCCUCAGUAUUGUCCAUUACUGAAGCACAGAAACUCUUUGGCCAUUCUAUUUGAUGCCAUGGCUCAGACCUACUGACGUUCUCCUUGAUAGAAGACGUGAAAUAGCUUACAGAAAGUCAGACCUUGUGUGUAAUACCUACAAAUUCCCGAAGAUGUGCUAUUCCCGCUUUAUGGGUGGAAAACAAGCCCUGAAUUGCUGAAAGGUGAGGCAGUUUGUUAGAGGCCAGUCACAGAGUCUCUGCAUCCUUCAAGUGAGGGAGCCUGUGUUCCAGGCACUUGUGUAACCAUACAACAGCCCUGCAGUUUAGGCACAGGAUCUCACUCCCAUGGAUGGGAAAGCUGAGGCCCGGAGAGGUUUAUCGAAUGCUCAAGGUCACAGGGCAAGGGAGCCACAAGAGUGGGCAUCAAGUCCAACCGGAUCAGACUGAAGGCUGCAAGGGAAAACCUACCGUGCCAGGCCUCCAGGCUUUUCCUGAGGUGUGUGGUGGGUGGAGUACUCAGCCUCGUAAAGCUUCAAAGCCUGUAGCUAACAUUCUUGGCACGCUUGGGCUUCCCCGCUGGAAGACUGAUGGCACCAGAAGUCAGUGAAAGCUGCUCGGUGGAAAGGACCUGCGCCCAUGAGCCUCCCAUGCUCCUCCUCUUUCACCUCUUCUGUUUUUCUUUCCUUGAGGGGUAGUCUGGGAGAUGGCAGAGGGUUUUGUCCUGUCAGCUGCUCCCGUCACUUCAGUGGCUCUGAAAUUCCCGAAAAAGCUUGCACACAGGCAGCGGUUCCGGUUUUCCUCCCUCCCACUCCCCUUCCCCUGCGUAGGCUGGUCUUACGAGGCAGGAGAGGCACAUUCUUAAUGGCGAGAUUCGGCCAGUGGUUCUGGGAGAGGAAGCCGCCAGAUCAGGUCAACAUCUAUCUUCUCUGGCUUUUCAAAAACUUCAGAUGACGCCGGCUCGUGGGUCAAAUGUCAGCUCAAGGCCAUAGCUCACUGUGUUUGGAGGGGAUAAGCGAUGGGGAUGGGUGGGCUUGGAGGGUCAGGAGGUACACAGCCUGCCUUUUUCUCCUACUUGAAAGUAAGGAAGGGAACAGUAGCAACAUUCUGGAACACAUGGCAGCAGCUGAAGAUAAGAUAAAGGGAGAAGCUAGGCUGGUUGUUCCAAGAACAUGAUUGGUGUGUUGGCUACCACUGUCUUGUGCGGUUUUUAAAAAUAGAAAGACCAGAGGGUGGAGCUUUCUAGUUAAAAGCCUGAGUAUUUUUUUUUUUUAAUGUUUAUUUAUUUUGAGAGAGAGGGCAUGUGCAGGUGCAUGAGCAGGGAAGGGGCAGAGAGAGAGAGGGAGAGAGAGAAUCCCAAGCAGGUUCCCUGCUGCUAGCCUGGAGCUUGACUUGGGGCUUGAACCCACGAACUGUGAGAUCAUGACCUGAGCUGAAGUCAAGAGUCAGACGCCUAACCGACUGAGCCCCUCCAGGCACCCCGAAAGCGCAAGUGAAGCUGAGUUGGCCGCUCCAGAAUGAACCACAGCUCCCAGAUGGGGAAGUAGAAACCCAGCUGGCUCUCUGCCAUGGCCUGCGAACCUCAGGUGGGCCCCAGCGGGGCAGCCGGCCCAUUGCCCACCUCCUCUCCUGGCUGGAAUGCCUUGCCUGGAGGGCGUCCCCCAGGCUGGGGGCAAGUGGUGCUCGCUCAGCCAGGUGAAGCUUCUGGUGUGCUUUCAGAGCUCCGCAAUGGCCAGGUCCUCACGGUUCUGCGGAUCGACAACACCUGUGCGCCCAUCGCCUUCGAUCUGGGCGCCGCAGAAGAGCAACUGCAGACCUGGGGCAUUCAGGUCCCCGCCGACCAGUACAGGAGCUUGGCUGAAAGCGCCCUCUUGGAGCCCCAAGUGAGGCGAUACAUCAUCUACAACUCCAGGCCCAUGCGGUUGGCCUUUGCUGUGGUGUUCUAUGUGGUGGUGUGGGCUAACAUCUACUCCACCAGCCAGAUGUUUGCCCUGGGGAACCACUGGGUAGGUGUGCUGCUCGUGACCCUGGCUGCCAUGAGCCUGACUCUGACCCUCGUGCUCAUCUUCGAGAGACACCAGAGGAAGGCCAACACCAACACGGACCUUAGGCUGGCGGCUGCCAACGGAGCCCUCCUGAGGCACCGGGUGCUGCUGGGGGUGACGGACACGGUGGAAGGCUGCCAGAGUGUGAUUCAGCUCUGGUUCGUCUACUUCGACCUGGAGAACUGUGUGCAGUUUUUGUCUGACCACAUUCAAGAGAUGAAGACUAGCCAAGAGUCCUUGCUGAGAAGCAGAUUGAGCCAGCUGUGUGUUGUCAUGGAAACCGGAGUGAGCCCCGAGACAGCAGAGGGGCCUGAGGACCUGUUGGAGGAAGCCCCUCUCCUGCCCGGCAGUCCUCAUUCGGAGGAGAGGCCACUCCUGCAGACUGAGCUUCGCCAGCUCGUGCCUGAGGCUGAGCCAGAGGAAAUGGCCCAGCAGCUGUUGGCGGUAUUUGGCGGCUACUAUAUCCGGCUCCUGGUGACCUCGCAGCUUCCCCAGGCAGUGGGGACACGACACACAGACUCGCCAAGGAUUCCGUGCCCCUGCCAGCUCAUAGAAGCCCACAUCCUGGGUACUGGGUGCUGCCCAUUCCUGGCCAGGUGACCUAGGGAGGAAGGUACUCCGCUUCCUGCAAGACUGAAGGUCCUCAGGAAGGCUCAGGAGCACCAGGCGGCUGACGGUGAGCCCCAGGGGAGGAGAGAAGCAUCUGGGAGCACUUGGAAGACCGUCAGUCAUGUCAGAGCAUGGGUAUCGUGCUUGCUUCAGGACUCUGCACAGGAAUACCUUUCCACAUCCCAUGCUGACCCCUGGCCCUUUCAGAAGCUGAUGGUUGCCAAGCUGGUCCCACUCCAAACCAGUCUCUAUGCUGCUUAGAACCAUGGGCAUGGAUGGAAGGCCUCUCCCAUGCCCUUCAUUGUCUGGAGAGCCCAGAAAAUGUGAAGAUGCCCCUACUGGGCCAACCAUGUGUCCAGAGCUCAGUCUCAGGUGAUGGUCCUGUCCUCAGCUCCUUCUUGUCAGACAGGAAAACUGAACCUCAGAGAGGACUCUGCUCUUUGUAGCAUUGUCUUGGGCCUCCAGAAUUCCUAAUCGGAAGGAAAGAAGUCAAUUCUCAGAACGUUCUCCAUUUGCUUGGGUAACUAGUCCCACACCCCUGAAAGGCUUGAAAGAAAUCUGAGGUGUGCCAGCAGAGGGUGGCUGGGGAGACUGAAAUCCAGAGAGGUGACUCCAAUAUUCUUGCCAACUACACACACCCAUGCCUGGGACCUACUGAAGAGCUGUGGCUGGUGCUUCUGGGAUAUUCUUGGACUAUUAGGUGAGUCAACAGUGGAAGAAGGCCCCUCAUUGGCCUGGCAGCAGCAACAGAAGACGCCAUGUUUUGGUGGGUCAUGGGAAGAGGAAAGGGCAUUGGGGCAUCUGGCCCUGUAGCCUCAAUCCCAGAAGCCCAUUGUUAUUUCAGCGGUGGGUCAUACUGGGCCAGCCUCUCCCAACGUAUCACACCCCUUCCCCUCCCAAACCUCUCGUAGCUCCCUGUGGCUGGCAUGUCCAGGCCCACCUAUGUGGGCCUACCUCUGACUAGGUCUUCUUCCAUUCAAAGUUCUCUCACCCAUGGAAAGACAUUGGAGCCUCUACUCUGCCAGUCUUUACCUGCAGGGGUACCUCGUUGAAUCAGCAGAUCAUCUGAUAACACAGCUCCACCUUUCUGUGUGGCUUUGGGCUCAUCUGUUCCGGACCUAGGCUCCCAUCUGACAGGCCUCUUCCCAGCUCCUGUUCUCACUUCCCUUUCCCUGUGGCCAAAGCCCUACUCUGGGAAUUUCCAUCAUGGCGGCAGUAUUCCCUCAGUGCACACUGGGUUCACUCCAGGGCAUCGUCCUUGGGCACUGGCUUCCCCCUCUCCCGGCCACCACCGUGUCUCACCUGGAUCACUGCGAUGGCCUCCUAACUGGUCUCCCUGCUUCUUCCACCCUCGUCUUCAUUGGUGUCAGCACAGCAGAAUCCUCUUAUGAUGUAAGUCACAUCACAUCACACCUCUGCUUGGAGUCCUGGUGCCCUAUCACGCAGAAGAGAAGCCAAAGUCUUUCUCUGGGCAUCCCCUGAAAAAAAUCUGUAAUCUCAGCACUACCUUUGCCCAUCCCUCCCCUGCUGUCUCCUCCUGCCCUCCCCUUCACUCUGUUCCAAAUGGACAGAACAUGGCUGCCCUUGCCUGCACUUUCUGCCUGGGAUGCUCUUCUCUGGAGACUCAGGGAACUCCUCCCUCCCCUCCUUUAAGGCUUUGUGUGAAGGUCAGCUUUUCUUGUGAGGCAUUCCCCCCCCCCCCCAUUUAGGCCUCUCCCUCUAUUUAAUUCUCCCUAUUUAUUCCCUCUACCACUCAAUUCCCAGUUUACAGGACUGUCCCUCCCCCAGUCCUCCCUCUUCCCCAUCCCACCUCCUUCUUCUCCAUAGCCCUUGUCUUAGAGCACACCCCGGAGUUUAUUUGCAAUUUUCCUGCUGUGGAACACAUGGAGGCAGGGGGUCAGCCUCUUAGGUUCACUGCUGGGUCCCCAGUGCCGGAUGCCAAGCGUGCAGUUAAUAAACAGUUGUGGGAGGCUGGACGAACCUGUACUUUGGUUGAACUUUGGUCCUGCGUAUGAGCAGAUGCUGUCACCGCCCCAGGGGUGAGAUAAGCCACUAUUCCAGGGACAUGAAGGCUGGUGAGACACUGUUGGUGUCUCACUGCUGAUGAGACACCGUCAAGCUGACUGAUGGCUUUAAGAACAAUGGAUAGGUUUGCUUUUGACUGCUGAUGGGGCCAUCUCCCUUCCCCACCCUUUUCAACCCAAACCUAUUUCCUUUCCUUUCGUGUCCUAUAUUCACUUUGGGUCUGGAGUCAGAGUUGGCGAACCCCUUCUCCUCCUGGCCCCUGCCUCCCUUUCUCUACCCGUUCAGCCAUUCAUCAAGGCAUUGUGAUUCUACCUUAUAAACAUCUCCUCCACCCUCCAGCCCCUGCCCUCGGCCACCCCCCUGGCCACAACUUCCCUGCUGGCCCCUGGCUCACUUGCAGGCCCAUCUGCCUGCAAUCCCAUCACCAUGCUGUGCCUCAAACCCUCAGCGGCUCCCUGUUGCACUGCUGAAAACUGCUUGGUAGUCUGGCCCUGCCAGCUUUGCCAGCCUCAUUCCCUCCCAGCCUCGCCUGUUGCCCUCUGGCCGUAGGAGCUGCCAGCAGCGCCCCAAACUUGCUCUCAUUGCGUUACCACCAUGCAUUUGUGCCAACUCUCUCCCCCACCCCCAUGUUCUCACUCCCUCACCCUUCACACUGGAGACUCAGCUCAGGGACUGCUCCUUCCGGGAGGCCAUCCCUUACACCUGGGAGGAAUUAGGGGCCUCUCUAGUGGUCCCACACUGGGUCAUGGCCAGUGCCUGGCAUUGCACAGCAUCUGCCUAACCCUAUCACAGGUGCUUGAUAAAUAUUUGUUGAGCAAUAUUUCACAGCCUGCCUAUGAUUUGCCUAUGAGAGUCCACU